UUUGGUGGCGAUAGCGAAGAGGUCACACCCGUUCCCAUACCGAACACGGAAGUUAAGCUCUUCAGCGCCGAUGGUAGUUGGGGGGUUUCCCCCUGUGAGAGUAGGACGCCGCCAAGC
rnacentral:rRNA from 2 species